GAUGAAGAACGUAGUGAAAUGCGAUAAUUAAUGUGAAUUGCAGAAUUCAGUGAAUCAUCGAGUCUUUGAACGCACAUUGCGCCCCCUGGUAUUCCGGGGGGCAUGCCUGUCCGAGCGUCAUUGCUGCCCUCAAGCACGGCUUGUGUGUUGGGCUUCCGUCCCUGGCAACGGGGACGGGCCCAAAAGGCAGUGGCGGCACCAUGUCUGGUCCUCGAGCGUAUGGGGCUUUGUCACCCGCUCCCGUAGGUCCAGCUGGCAGCUAGCCUCGCAACCAAUCUUUUUAACCAGGUUGACCUCGGAUCAGGUAGGGAUACCCGCUGAACUUAAGCAUAUCAAUAAGCGGAGA
rnacentral:misc_RNA from 1 species